rnacentral:misc_RNA from 1 species
GCGUUUGCAUAUUCGCCACACCGCCGUGUUCUCCCCUAGUGUGGUGUAACACUACAUUACAUAUAUAUACAUACGAGCAUAUAUAUAGCGAAGCAAAUAAAACUGACUCGACAGCCGGAAAGCACAAGCAAUCACCUGUUCUUGCCCUUUUCCAUUUCCCGUGUUUCUCGUUCUCCUUUAACCUUCACCACGAACUGAACUCGCAUCCAUAUCCUUUACCUCGUGUCGACUCUGUACGUGCACGGGUGUUCGUUUGUGCUUGUAUGCACAUCAUAAAAGUCACCUGACAGCAUACUUUUAGUGGUAAACUGCACGCGCGCAGACACUCGAAAAGCCUUCCUCGUGCUCUCGUUGCUAUUGCUGCUGCGCUUUCCUGGUGUUCGGCCUUUGGGCCCCUCGCGCACGCGGAAAAAAAAAACAAGCCACGGUCGGUUCACUGCUCUUGCUUUCUGUGCUGUAUUGCCCCGCAUUCAACUUGUGACGCUUCGCCCACACCGGCACCUUUCAUAGCAGCUCGUCAUUCGCGCAUGCUUUGUUUUGUGUGUGCGUGUGUGUCUGCGCCGUUGCCUCUCCUCUCACCGCCCCCUUCCCUCACGCUGGCGGUACUCCCUCUUCGGAACCCCCGUGUGUUUGUCUCCCUCCUGAUCUCUCCCCUCCUUGGCAACGGAAGCUGUUUGCACUGUAGGCGGUUUUCAUAGGGUGCCCCCAUGUCGGAAAGCGCAGAGACGAGUGCGUCGCUGGCGGAACGCCAUGCUGACCCGAUGGACAUGGAGGCGGUCGAGGAAGAGCUCAAUGUCGGGAAGCUGGAGCAGCUGGACGACGAGGCGAACUCGAAGUUGUUCAAUCACAGCCGCGCCGAAGUCGAGCGGCUUCGCAACCUCACCCCAGACAUGAUAAGGAACAUGGACUCGCACAUCGAAUAUGCAGUCGAUGCCUUCUUUGCCAACAGAAUCGCUGACUGCGAGGCGACGCUGAGGAGUCGCAUGAGCGAAGACCCUCUGGCGGUGUGCGGAGCUGGACUGAUUGCAUUUGUGCGCUGCGGCCUCUCGAUGGAGCAGGCGCAGGCAGACAUAGCACUCGAGCUACUCACCAGGUCAAGCGCGCUCGCCACACAGGUGAUGUCCAGGGAGAAGAGCAUGCUAUCCCGAGGUUUUUCUAAGGUGUUUCAGCGCAAUAAGGAGACGGAGGGGAACUGGCUCAGCGCCGCGGAGUUCCGCGCGAAAACAAUGCACGCGGAGAGCCAGGCCCUGCGCUGCUUCGUCUUCGUGCUCCAGCAGUCUGUCUCAGCGCUCGUGAAGGCUGGACUAGCGCUGAACCGCGCGAACAGCAGCUACAAGUCCCUCUACAUGGAGCUAGAGCACCGCUACAAGGCCAAGUACGGAGGCAAAGAGACCGUCAAGACGUCCCAGCACAAGCCCGCGGCUGCCGAGGAGGGGGACAGCGACGUGAAUUCACCGCUGCGGUCUCCAAGCUGGUUAACCGCAAGACACGCCUCCCUCGAACAAAGUGCCGCGCUAGAGACACUCGGCCUCGACCGCAACUCGGUGCACUGCGUCGAGUUCGGCCUCGGUGCAAUGAAGCUCGCACUUUCCAUCCUGCCAGACAACGUUCGAGCUGUGCUCCGCUUCAUCGGCGUCGAAGGCGACCGGCAGGAAGGACUGAAGCUUGUCCGCCAGUGUUUCAAGAGCGACACGCUGCUGUCGCCUUUUGCCAGUGCCCUGCUGCUUGCACUCUACGGCAUGCUGCCAGCGACGUCGGCGUUUUUGGUCGAUUCCUACCUGCCCGUUGCACACGAAGUGCGCACAGAGGUGCUGCAGAAGGAAAAAAUGCGCGAGUCGAUUUUGCAUCUCUGGCUCGACGGUCGUAUCGAGCGGCUGACGCGCUCCGUAGAUCUGAGUAUUUCUAAGCUGAAUAACUGCCUUGCUAUUGCGAGUAACUCACAGCUGCUUGCUGCCAUGCCGCAGCUCCGCGACUUCGUCCUGUACGAUCAGUGGUUCAACUACGCCAUUGUGCACCAGUGGAAGCGUGCGAGCCGGUGCCUCGAGAUCCUCUCGAAGACGUCCAAGUGGGCAAAUGCCGUGUACCAGUACACGCAGGCGUGCUGUCUUGAGAUGCUCGAGAUGGAAUGGGCAGAGGGGAUCGAGAACCCCGACGGCGCGCUGGACUUUCCGCUGGAGGAUCUAAACCGCAUCCUUGGCUCGAGCGAGGAGAAGGUGGGGCUGACCUUCUCCGACGUCUCCACACGAAAGGCGAUCGCUGAGACCAUCACCCAGCUCUACUGGGAGGCAGCGCAGCGCAAACCUGUCACACUUGGCGGGAAGCCGAAUCACAACGACCAGUUCGUGCUGAAGCGAAUGGAGGAGAUCCUGGUGAGCCACGGCAUUACCCCGUCCACCGUGGUUGCAAAGAAGAAGCUGGGCGAGCCGCUGGAACCCGUUCCGGAAGGUCUUAUCAUUCGAAAUAUCGUGCCGCUGCCAGCGUAUGAAAAGUGUCUAAUUGCGGGCAUCGCCCAUCAGUACCCUGCGGAGCGCAAAGAAAAGAUGGUGGCCUUGAUCGACGCGUACCUUUUGCGGGAGCCGGUGCAGUGCAACACCCCACUGUCCGACUAUGUGGACUCGAUGCGGGAGCGCAGCAAGGGAAAAGCGACGUCGCGGUCACUGGCUUUCUCCUCGAAGGCGGCAUCGGAGGGGUCGCCUGUGUCGAGGGAGGUUGCCUCGCCUGCUGCAUCCCCGAACCCGCACGAACCCAGAGCCUCCCUCCCUGAGAACUACCGGCUGUUAUGCCUAUGCGUCUACAAGUCUAUGCUGCUGGCGAACAGCGAGUCGAAGAAGGACCGGCAAGCUGCCUUGGAGGUGAUCAAAGCAAUUCGAGACACGCCCCAGUACAAGGAUCGGCAGUGGAGUCUCUCCUACGCACAGGCUUUUGCACUGUACGACAAGGCCUAUAUCGCGUACCGCGAUGAGAGUCUUGAGGCGGCCGAGUCCAUCAUGAACCAGCUGCAUAAGCAGUACGAUUCCGCCCAUUACUACAUGCACGCCAAGAUGGACCUCAAGGCGCACCUCGCCUCAUAUCACCUGCAGGAAGAGAGGCAGGCGAGGGCGGCGAAGCUCACAAAGUAGCGCCCGGAUACGGUAUGGGAAGAGAGCGAUACCCUGAUGAAACGAGGGUUGCACCUGCAGAUGGGCCCCGAUGUGUGUCCUUGAGCAGGGGAAAGUCAUGGCAGCAGCGCAUUCUGCCUGCCUCAUGAUGCUCAUGGGGUGCCAGUUGUCACAAAAACCGAUGCCCAAGAAGGCGUCGCGCAUCGAGCAAUGUGCUGAUGUAGUAGUGACUGAGGCUUGGUACCUCCCCCCCCCCCCCAAAAAAAAAAGAGGUGCAAAAGGUGCCUGAAAGUCUUCCAUCUUUUUCCCCUUGUUUGUCUCGCAUGUAAAACGUCGUCACGUUUCUCUCGGUAAUGGCUGGCGUUUGCAAACGGAGCGACUGCGUUUUUCGUAUUCGUUUUCUCAUGCAUACGUACAUGCGUCGAUGGUUUCAGAGCUCAAUGUAUGGUUGCACGUGGGUUCUUCAUGGUGCAUCUGUGUUUUAGUCCACGCAGCUCUGAUUGAUGGCGACGUUCUAUUAUCUUUAUCCCUGUGUGGCGAGCGUGAGUGUUUUCAUUUUUUUUUCGUUGGUGUAUGCUUGGUGUGGUUGGGUUUACUGCGAUUCAUUUGUUUUUGUAGUCUAAAAGCCUGCCUUACUUAUCUGUCGUUUUUCUCUACUGGUCUUACCACAUACUCUUCGUUUAGAGCACGGCGUGUCUGUGGUUGAGCAAUGCCGUGCUCGCCAGUGGCAGGUGGAAUACCUGAGGGUGUGAAGUGUGCAGGCUCGUCGUCCAUAUUCGCGUAUGCAUCUGCGCACAUGCGUACAUGUUCUGGCUUAGUGUUUUCUUUUUCGAAACUCUCUCUUCGUUUUCGGUUCGGAAUUCUCCUCCUCCAUUGCCCCGCCUUUGGUUUGCUAGUGCGUGUUUGCCUUUCCACCCUCGAACCUUCCCAAGUACGCCACGAUGAACCGUGUAUGUGGGUGCUAUGAGCUGCUCUUUCAGUUUUUGUUGUUUGUAAUCACUAUAUCUGUGUGUGUGUGUGUGUGUGUCAUCUAGGUCCCUAUUUCCUUUCCUUCACAGCAGUGCGUAGUCAUGCAACUUUUUUGUUGCCGUUUCUGACUUGUGAUAUAUAUGUGAAUCUGGAUGGCGUUGGAGAAGGGGGCGCACACGUCUCAGUGCGUGGCAUCACAGGAUCCAGUGUCUACGACAUAGGAGAAGGCUAGAGAGAUGUAUCACAACUGAAGUCGGCGCUCCGGUCCUGGACAGCGUUUCGUCGGAGCAACCUACGACAGUGCACGCGCUGCUGCCAUCCAUACGGUAGGCGAAGUGCCAACGCAACUCGAGCGUAACUCACCCGGCCCUCGCACUGCCAACCGGUGGCGAGCAUGACUGCCACCCCAAGGGAGAUGCGCCAGGUGGCGACCAGCGUACUGGAAGCGGCUGUGGAGCGACCUGCAGAGCGCGGGUGGUGGGCAGGGCUUGGUUUAGAGACCGCGUUCAGCUGACGAAGUCGGGGCACAUGACCGUGAGGCUUUUCAACCACUGCUUUGCACCACUCGAUUGAGGUCUGUGACUGAGUAGAGGUAGACCAGAGGUGAGCUUAUGCUGUAUGAUAGAGUGGACACGUUGCACGCAAAAAUAAAAACAACUUGUCCUACUAAUGUCUCAUUUGAUUUAUAUUUUUAUUUGCUCCGCUUUUUGCUUUCUCACGCAACUGUGCGGCUUUCUGUGUCUGCAGUCGUAUACGUGUUCCCUUUUCGAAUGUGCCCACGUGUAUUAUAGCGGACGGUUCAUAGCCGCUUGUGUCCUCUUGCAGUGCACACGCAGCCGCGCACCGCAGCCACUUGCCUCAUUUUGAAAACGCGGGCACCGGCACACGCGCUCGCAUGCCCUGCGCACUGUUCUCAUAGGAGGCUAAACAAGAAAAACAACAGCAACCUAUGCCAACAGAAAACGGUGAUAUAAGCCCGAGAACGCCUACACAUACACACGCACCCCAGCGUUUUUCGCACCGCUGUCCUUUUUUGUUUCAACACCCAGCUUUUUUUUUGUGGUAAUUCCGCCUUGCGCGAAGUGAGAGCGCGUGGUGUGUAAAGGCAGUGCGACGAAGGGACGAAGGGAUUUCCUGUGUUUGAUCAUUUCAUUUCUGGCGGCCUUCUCUCUCUCGCUGCUGCAUAUAUUUUACUGUUCUGCUUCUCUCUCACUUUUUUUUUCGUUGUUGUUGCUUCGUGGUUGCGAGAAGCGUGCCUUUUCACUGCAUGUGUUGUGUGCGUUGUGUCCCUUCCCCCCCCUCCUAGACCGCUUCACGUUGCGCUCUCCUCCUUGCCUGCCUGCCUAUUACGCAUUUGUUUUGCCGACUGACAGACGUGUCUUUUAGCUGUUUUUUUUUUUUUGAUUUUCUGUUUGUUUUGUUUGGGGGAGUUGGAAGAGGAGAAGAGGGUGGCACCCCGAAAAGAAUUACCGCCCGAACAUUCGAGCUGAAUCAG